GUGACCUCGGAUCAGGUAGGAGCACAUCGAAGC
rnacentral:rRNA from 1 species